rnacentral:ncRNA from 1 species
AGAUACAGGUGUUUUUUAACUUAAUAAGGAAAUCGGUUAAAAUCCGAUACAGCCACCACUACUGUGAAAUGGACGAAAGUGUAUAGCCACUGAAAAUAAAAAAAUUUUUGGGAAGGAUACGAGUAGGAUGAAGUUAGUCAGGAGACUUGCCUGUAAUCUUU